CCUANGGGGGGCAGCAGUGGGGAAUCUUCCGCAAUGGGCGAAAGCCUGACGGAGCAACGCCGCGUGGGGGACGAAGGCCUUCGGGUCGUAAACCCCUGUCAUGGGGAAAGAUGGGCGUCGGGGUGAACAGCCCCGAUGCUUGACGGUACCUCAAGAGGAAGCCACGGCCAACUCCGUGCCAGCAGCCGCGGUAAUACGGAGGUGGCAAGCGUUGUUCGGAUUCACUGGGCGUAAAGGGUGCGUAGGCGGUCGGGUAAGUCUAACGUGAAAUCUUCAAGCUCAACUUGGAAACUGCGUCGGAUACUACUUGGAUAGAGGAAUGGAGGGGAGACUGGAAUACUUGGUGUAGCAGUGAAAUGCGUAGAUAUCAAGUGGAACACCAGUGGCGAAGGCGAGUCUCUGGACAUUUCCUGACGCUGAGGCACGAAAGCCAGGGGAGCAAACGGGAUUAGAUACCCGUNUAGUC
rnacentral:rRNA from 1 species